AUGCUACAUUUAAGGGGAUGUGUUCUCAUACUGUCCGCGGCCUACCUUCUUCGUGAGAUACAAUGCGCGACCCAGCUUCAAACUCAGGUUACGGUGCCGUCGGCGGCAGAGGUUGGUCAGGCGGUGAACAAUGCCGGGCAAUGGGCCGGGAACCAGGUGCAAAACGCAGGGCAGGUGGCCGGCAAAGUGGUCAACGGCGCAGGCAACUUGGCCGGGCAGGCGGUCAACGGCGCAGGCAACUUGGCCGGGCAGGCGGUCAACGGCGCAGGCAACUUGGCCGGGCAGGCGGUCAACGGAGUCGGCCAUGCGGCCGGCGCGGUAGUCAACGGAGCUGGCCAAGUGAUUAGCGGUGCUGGUCAGCUGGGCAAACAGGCCGUGAGUGGCCUCGGUAACGCCGCCCAGACCGUAGGCAACUUCGCCGGCAAUGUCGCACAAGGCGCGGGGAAUGUGUUGACGUACGCGGUGACGUCAGCUGGGCGGACGAUCACGGCGGCCGGGCAAGCCAUCACGAACGUGGCCAUGUUCCCGAUAAACGUUGCCCGAGGCGCUUACAGCGACCUGCAGAUGAGGAUGAUGAAAAUGCAACUCCAGAUGGCUGCUUACAAGCAAGCUGUGGCCAACAGCUACAACUACACCUCGCCCCAGUACGCCUACCAAUCGGCCAUGUUCGACCAGAUCGCAAUCGUCGACCUUACACCCUACGUCAAUUCGCUGAACGCAGACUUGAUGCCGUACGGGCAGAUGGUACGGAUCACCAGGACGAACGGGGUGCCGAGCUACAUCUUUCCGACUAUCCUCGACUCGAAUGCUGCAAGCCACUCGCUUCCCAACGGCUUCAGCCUCCAGCAGAACCAAAUCGUCAACGCACAGGGCCAGGUUGUCGGGGGCGUCCCUCAGUAUCAACCCUCCUACAACGGCAACAUCCUCAAUGAUGCUGCAGGAAAUCAGUACAAACUUGGACCAGACAUCUACCUGGACCAACAAGGUAACCUGCUGUAUAGGCGGAACAACCAGCCGUGGGCGAUCGCCGGCCAGUACGUCAUCGAUUUGGGAGGUGGUUCCUGUCAUUUAAAUGAGAAGAAAAAAAUGUGGACAUAA
rnacentral:lncRNA from 1 species